GCCCUGGCAAAGGGGAAGGGGACAGAAGGGGCUCCAUGAGGCUGCUCCCCCAUCUGGAGAGGACACAAUGAGCAUUAUGCCACAGGAACCUUGAGCCCCCAGCACUUGCAGGAGGGCUACAGGGUACAUCAUCCCCCUCCCUUGAUCGGCUCACUUCCCAGCAAGAUGCCCAAGACCACAACAGGCAUGUGAGGUGCCUGGCAUUGUCCAGUUUUCCUGGCAAACAAACUGAGGCUCUGCAAAGUCAAGAAACUGGUUCAAGGUCACAGAGCUGGGAAGUGGUAACCUUGGGUUCUUGUCUCCAAAGCCUGUUCUGUCUCUUAUAAAAAAACCUGUUCACAUGGCAGUUUCAGGGGUUCCCUUUAGGAACAGCCCUGGACAAUGAAGGGCAUGAUGGAUCCAAGCGAGCUACCGCAGGGUCUCCAUAUUACCCAUCUGGGAAGUGGGAGUUGGACUAAAGGUCUCAAGGAUGCUGUGGAGCUGCUUCAGGGGCAUCUGGGAGCUAAAGGUAUGAGGGACACCUGCAAGGAAGGGGAGGGAAGGCAAGUUUCUGCCUUGAUCCCCAGCUGGGAGUGGCCUGGGACAGGUUGGAGUCCCUGGCUGGGGCAACGUGGGGCACUGAGCCAGCCCAGGAAAGGACAGGCAGGGAAUGUAAACAGAGGGACUGGCUGGGAGGGCAGUGGGUGCCCUCAGGGUGGGGAGGGUGUGUCCUCUGGAUGUGGGAGCAGGCCAUGUCUUCUUGGGUUGUGCAAAGGCCAGAGGAGGGUGUGUCACAGUCAGUGGGCAGAAAAGCGCCCAGCUCUAUUCCCUGGCAGGCAUCCCCCACCCUCGAGGGUACCCGGCGCUGGCAACCAAAUUGCAGGCCUGGGGCCUUGGCGGCCCUGUCUUGCGAUCCCGUUAAGCCAGACACGGGUGGGCAGGGGGAAGGGAACCGAGUCAGGGGACCUGGAGUCCAGCCACAGGUCGUCAGUCCUCCGCGGCUCCAGCCGCCCCAUUCAGAGGCUCGGGUUACUGGGCCGGCAGAGGCCACAGUGCAGCGCGCUAGAAGGGUCCGGCGGGAGUACCUGUUGGGCGCCACGGUCUGGGUCGCCCCCGCCCAGCCUGGCCAGUCCCUGGCGCAACUCGUGCACGUCCACGCGGCCAUCCUUGUUACUGUCCAGCUCCUCGAAUAGACGACCCCAGGGGCUUUGCGGCUCCCCCUCCCCCCCGAGACCCUGCAGGGCUAGCUCCGCGGCCACUGGCACCGCAGCCUCUGCGCUGCCCGCCGGGCUCUGGCACUUGCUAGAGGUGCUAAUUGCUAGCCGUCGCCGCCUGCUCCAGAAGUUGCGUCUCCUCCUCCUACCCGCAUGGGGAGGGGGUGGGGUACCGAGGGCGGAGCUGGGGGCGUGGGGAGGGAUGUCUAGGAUGCUCCGGUUUCGUACAGCCCAAGAGCCCCAAGACUCCUCUGGGAAGAAAGGAUAGGUAAUUCAGUGUUUUCAGUUUUUGUUUUAGAGUUCCACCUGCUUGCCUCAGUUUACCCUUUUCCGUUCCCUAAAGAGAGCGAGGGAGGGAGACAUUAGGGAUUGGGUUUCAUAAUCUCUUUUCACUUGACCUCCCUCUCCUGCUAAUCCUAUUCAAGAACUAAAGUUCUCGCUUUUUCCAGACGUACGUAAGAACUCUGAGCUGGCUAAGCUUUUCGUCUGCCCGCCCGCGCAUGUCAGAUUCCCCACUCAGUUACAGAAACUGAAGAUCAAGAGGCGUUGCUCGGUGUUCCUUCAUUCUGCCCGCGCGCCUUCUUUCUAGGCCUCACUCAAACAGGGAAACGAAAGAUCAACACGCGGCGCGGCUGCACAGUCGCUUUCCUAUUGGUCAGAGGCCCCUGAGCUGCGCGGGUCCGUCCUUCCCCGCCCGCCCACCUGGGCGGAGCCUCCAGCUGACCUAGACUGCCUUCGCUUUUCAUUCCCACCACCCGCCAGGCAGUCUUAAAGGGGCGGAUCCAGACGCCGAGCUGACUGCUCUCUCGUGACCUGCCUGACGGACAUCUGUGUCCUGGGCGCAGAUAGGGUUGGCCCCGGUACGCUUGCACCUCUGUCCUGACGAUUCUCCCCACAGAUGUGCCUCAGUGCUGAGAGUGCCUCAGGUGAUUCCAGGUCUUCCCUUGUAUACAAGCGUUCUUUAUUCAAGGAAAUUUGUCACCUCACAGGUAUGUUUUGCAGCAGGCGUUCCUCUGUGAAUGCACGUACAGCUCCCCACGGUGUGUUUCAGUUAAAUAUUUCCCUUUAUGGGUAUGUUUCCGUAUCAGUGGGUCCCCUGCAGGUGUGUUUUGGACAGUUAUCUCCAUACCUCUCCACACAGGAAUUCCUCAUACAAGUGGUGUGCAUUUCGUAGGUGAGCUAUGCAUUCUUUUCCAGAGCAGGUGUAGGACACCCAGGAGUGCCUCGGUCUGGUGUUCGUUCUAAUGCGCAUGUUUCCAACACAGGUAUGCUUCCAUUCAGCUGUACUCCGAAUGGAUGAGAUUCGACGCAGAUGUCUCGGUAAGUAUUCUUACAGGUAAACAUCCCUGCCCAUGUCUCCUACACGGAUUUGCUCCCAGCCAGGUGCUUACUACACAGGUGUCUUUCAUUAGGAACUCUCCUAAUGAAAAGUGCCGAAUCUACCCAGGCGCGGUGCCUCACUCACCCGUGCCUGCAUG